UACGUAGGUGACAAGCGUUGUCCGGAUUUACUGGGCGUAAAGAGCGCGCAGGCGGUCGUUCAAGUCGAGUGUGAAAGCCCCCGGCUCAACUGGGGAGGGUCAUUCGAUACUGAUCGACUCGAAGGCAGGAGAGGGAAGUGGAAUUCCCGGUGUAGCGGUGGAAUGCGUAGAGAUCGGGAAGAACAUCAGUGGCGAAGGCGGCCUGCUGGGCUGUUGCUGACGCUGAGGCGCGACAGCGUGGGGAGCAAACAGG
rnacentral:rRNA from 1 species